rnacentral:tRNA from 1 species
GCAUUGGUGGUAUAGUGGUGAGCAUAGCUGCCUUCCAAGCAAUUGACCCGGGUUCCAUUCUCGGCCAAUGCA